GGUAAGAGCCCACCAAGACAGCGAUCGGUAGCUGGUCUGAGAGGACGAGCAGCCACACUGGGACUGAGAGACGGCCCAGACUCCUACGGGAGGCAGCAGUGGGGAAUUUUCCGCAAUGGGCGAAAGCCUGACGGAGCAAGACCGCGUGUGGGAAGAAGGCCUUUGGGUCGUAAACCACUUUAAUCAGGGAAGAAGUAAGUGACGGUACCUGAAGAAAAAGCCUCGGCUAACUCCGUGCCAGCAGCCGCGGUAAUACGGAGGAGGCAAGCGUUAUCCGGAAUCAUUGGGCGUAAAGAGUCCGUAGGUGGCAUCAAAAGUCUGCUGUCAAAGACUUGGGCUAAACCGAAGAGAGGCAGUGGAAACUAGGGAGCUAGAGUGCGGUAGGGGUAGAGGGAAUUCCCGGUGUAGCGGUGAAAUGCGUAGAGAUCGGGAAGAACACCAGUGGCGAAAGCGCUCUACUGGGCCUGCACUGACACUGAGGGACGAA
rnacentral:rRNA from 1 species